CAGUAGCCGCGGUAAUACGUAGGGUGCAAGCGUUAAUCGGAAUUACUGGGCGUAAAGCGUGCGCAGGCGGUUCGCUAAGACAGAUGUGAAAUCCCCGGGCUUAACCUGGGAACUGCAUUUGUGCCUGGCGGGCUAGAGUAUGGCAGAGGGGGGUAGAAUUCCACGUGUAGCAGUGAAAUGCGUAGAGAUGUGGAGGAAUACCGAUGGCGAAGGCAGCCCCCUGGGCCAAUACUGACGCUCAUGCACGAAAGCGUGGGGAGCAAACAGGAUUAGAUACCCCGUAGUCCCUGUCUCUUAUACA
rnacentral:rRNA from 1 species